rnacentral:rRNA from 1 species
GCGGAGGGAUCAUUACUGAGUGAGGGCCUUCGGGCUCGACCUCCAACCCUUUGUGAACACAACUCGUUGCUUCGGGGGCGACCCUGCCGUUUCGACGGCGAGCGCCCCCGGAGACCAUCAAACACUGCAUCUUUGCGUCGGAGUUUAAGUAAAUUAAACAAAACUUUCAACAACGGAUCUCUUGGUUCUGGCAUCGAUGAAGAACGCAGCGAAAUGCGAUAAGUAAUGUGAAUUGCAGAAUUCAGUGAAUCAUCGAAUCUUUGAACGCACAUUGCGCCCUUUGGUAUUCCGAAGGGCAUGCCUGUUCGAGCGUCAUUUCACCACUCAAGCCUGGCUUGGUAUUGGGCGCCGCGGUCAAUCCGCGCGCCUCAAAGUCUCCGGCUGAGCUGUCCGUCUCUAAGCGUUGUGAUUUCAUUAAUCGCUUCGGAGUACGGGCGGCCGCGGCCGUUAAAUCUUUCACAAGGUUGACCUCGGAUCAGGUAGGGAUACCCGCUG